rnacentral:rRNA from 1 species
GUCGAAUAAAAUUCUAGGUAGAAUUAUGAUAAUGACAUUGUCUGCCUAUGUGUCUUGACCAAAUUACGUGCCAGCAGUCGCGGUAAUACGUAGAAGACUAGUGUUAUUCAUGUUUAAUCGGUUUAAAGGGUACCUAGACGGUAAAUCAAGCUUUCAAAGAAAUAGAGUUAAAGGACUAAUUUACUAGAGUUACUUAUGAGGGGGUAUUAAAGUACUGCUGGUGUAGAGAUGAAAUUCUGUCAUACCUCUUUUCAAAAGAAAAAUGAUGGCACAGGUAUAGGCGAAGGCAUCCCCUUAUGUGAUAACUGACGUUGAGGGACGAAGGCUUUGUGUAGCGAACAGGAUUAGAUACCCCAGUAGUCGAAGCAGAAAAUGAUGAAUGUCAUAGAUUAGAGGUAAGUUUAUUCUAUAAAUGAAAGUGUAAGCAUUCCACCUCAUGAGUAAUUUGGCAACAUUGGAACUGAAAUCAUUAGACCGUUUCUGAAACCAGUAGUGAAGUAUGUUGUUUAAUUUGAUGAUCCGCAAAAAACCUUACCACAAUUUGAAUAUUUAUAUUUUUUUUUUAUUGUUUUCUUAUUAAUUUUCUUCUAACAACAAGAUGUAGAAAACUAUGAAAAAAAAAGAAGAAAGUUAAUAAAGAGGCAAUAAGAUAUAUU